rnacentral:rRNA from 1 species
CGAGCGGUAGAGAGAAGCUUGCUUCUCUUGAGAGCGGCGGACGGGUGAGUAAUGCCUAGGAAUCUGCCUGGUAGUGGGGGAUAACGUUCGGAAACGGACGCUAAUACCGCAUACGUCCUACGGGAGAAAGCAGGGGACCUUCGGGCCUUGCGCUAUCAGAUGAGCCUAGGUCGGAUUAGCUAGUUGGUGAGGUAAUGGCUCACCAAGGCGACGAUCCGUAACUGGUCUGAGAGGAUGAUCAGUCACACUGGAACUGAGACACGGUCCAGACUCCUACGGGAGGCAGCAGUGGGGAAUAUUGGACAAUGGGCGAAAGCCUGAUCCAGCCAUGCCGCGUGUGUGAAGAAGGUCUUCGGAUUGUAAAGCACUUUAAGUUGGGAGGAAGGGCAGUUACCUAAUACGUAAUUGUUUUGACGUUACCGACAGAAUAAGCACCGGCUAACUCUGUGCCAGCAGCCGCGGUAAUACAGAGGGUGCAAGCGUUAAUCGGAAUUACUGGGCGUAAAGCGCGCGUAGGUGGUUAGUUAAGUUGGAUGUGAAAUCCCCGGGCUCAACCU